rnacentral:lncRNA from 1 species
GGGGGGAAUGAAAUAAAACACAAUUUGGUACUCAUAAAAAUAUUAAUUAUUUUCCUUGUACGUUUUAUAACUUUACAGUGAUUACUACAUUCAUAGAAAAGAAACUUCAAAUUUAACAAUGGAAAAGAAACAUAUAGAUAAAAUCUUUUAUCAUAAUUCAAUUCAAAUCCUUCAAAUUUUCUCCACUCAAUUAGUUCAAUUAGAGUUUUGGAAUUGAACCCUAAACCAAAAGAUUUUCACGCCCAUGUCUUACCGCUCCAAAAAUAGAUUAGUAGAUUGUACACAUUUUACAUGUGCCUCCAGGGUCGCUCAGCAAGCGCGACACAUUCCUUAUACCUAAAGCAGUCGACGAGGUGGUCUAUAGUCAAGCCGGCCGCUUGCAUAAAUGAGUACACGAUCACAGGUCCGACGAAUCUAAACCCACGUCUCAAUAACUCCCUGCUCAUCGCCUCCGCCUUUGGUGAUCUCAACGGCACGUUUCUAGGGUACCUGAACUUGUUGAUCGUUGGCUUGUGGUUCAUGUGGCCCCACAUGUAGCUACUGAACGAUCCAAAUUCUCUAACUAUCUGUAUUUCACAUUAAUAUUAUAUCGUCAAUGAACUGUAACAUGACUGUAUCGUUCAAUAAUCGUUAGAUCGAUUUACGUAUAGUACCUUGAGGAUGCAUUUGGCAUUGUCGACUAUGCAUCGAACUCGGCAUUCAGCUAAGGAUAUGGCCUUAUCGGAGACAAUGUCCAUGAUUUCAUUUUCAUCCAUUUUGGCCACUAUGUUUGGAUCAAAUCCAGCAAAUGAUUUCCUAUAUUUUUAAAUACCGAAAAUAUUAGCCUAAUUACUAAUUAGUGUUUAAUUAAUUGAGAUUUAUAAAUUCUAAUUACCUGAUGAGCUCUUUCCUCUUGAGAAUUUCAGUCCAAUUGUAGUCCAUCAACAUGCCACAUAGGGCUAGCAGCUCAAAUAAUUGGCUGUAAUUAUUUCCAAGCAAAAUUUAAAUGAAAUAUAAUCAAUUCGAUAUAACUAAGUGUUGAAAUAGCUGAAAAAUAAUCAAUGUCUUUUUCUUUUCUUUCUCGCUUACUUGUCUUCGUAAACUGGAACACCCCAACACUCGUCAUGAAAUGCAACAUAACCUUUAUCUGACAACAAAGAAACAAAUUAAACGAGAAUUAAACCUAUCUUUUUUUGUUGUAGUAUUCGGUAAACUCAUGAACACAAGUCUAAAUCGUUAGGACAAUUGAUGNNNNNNNNNNNNNNNNNNNNNNNNNNNNNNUUAUAAGAAGUAAUUGUGUUACAUACUUCAAUUACAAGGGUCUUUUUUCCGAAAAUUAUAAGGAUUUAAUUAGUUUGUUUAAUUUUCUUCAUACGAAAUGAUAAACGACAUUAAUGAUAUGAGAUCUUCGCUAGCCACAGAGAAAUCCAUACAAAAUUUCAAACAAAAAUAUAGGGAUUUAUUACCUCAACCAAACUCGAAUAGGGGUUUUGAAUAAUUGAAACCCUUUUAAGAAAUUAGCGAUAAGAAAAAUUCCAAACCAAAAAAAGAAUGCGAUAUGAAAUAAAGGUAAGAAAAUGUGAAUUGUAGGUGAAUAAGACAUCAAUUCAUAUUAUAUCAUGAUAUUUAUGCCAACCCCUAUCUAUAUCUAUACAUAAGAUAACACUUUAGUAUUUGUUAAUAUUCACUUGAGAUAACAUUGAGAUUUUGAAAGUGAGGAUAAAACGUUGCCAUCACUCCCAUCAAGCAUUCCCUUAUUGCCAAUUUUUUGCAUGGUAAUACUUAAUAGGUUGGCUCGAGCCGAGAACUCGAUACUAAUACAGUCAUGCUCAACUUGAUACACAAGAGUUACAAAGCCGAAAAUUCGAUACUAAUACAGUCAUGCUUAACUUGAUACACAAGAAUUACAACCCUAGUUAGUACUUACACGAUAGUUCAUAAAUCGAAUUUCAACUUCCCAUUCCGACUUACAAGUUACAAGUUACCACCUUCGUUUCUUUGGGUUUUGCCAAUUGUGUUUUCUUAUUGAUCCUCUUACUUUUGUUGGAUACUCUCCGGGCUUGAAGGUAAAGUAAUGGGCUGGAAACGAUCUGGGCUUUCUCAACUCUGAUGUGGUACACUGUAUUUAGUCUCGGACCUUGGGCUAUCUUCUUGCUAGGCCGGCCCAUAUUACUUAUAUAUAAUUUGAUAUUCAUGUAGCCUUCUAAUGUUAAUUCUUAGCUAGCAAAUAGUUUGAAUUAGUGAAUAUAAUAAGGGAUUCGGCGAAAAAUUCAGAAAAUUAAACUCUAAUUUCACAUUUAAAAUAGGGGGGAAUGAAAUAUAACACAGUUCGGUACUCAUAAAAAUAUUAAUUAAUUUCCUUAAUAUGCUCUAUUAACUUUAUAUUGAUUACAUCGUUAAAAAGGUGAAAUUUAACAAUCGAAAAAAUAAAAUUUUCAUCAUAACUCAAUUCAAAUCCCUCAAAUUUUCUCCACUCAAUUAAUUCAAUUUGAGUUUUGGAAUUGAAACCCUAAACCAAAAUAUUUUCGCACCCUUCUCUCACCACUCGAAAAAUAGAUAAAUAGAUUGUACACAUUUCACAUAUGCCUCCAAGGUCGCUCAGCAAGCGCGACACAUUCCUUAUACCUAAAGCAGUCGACGAGGUGGUCUAUAGUCAAGCCGGCCGCUUGCAUAAAUGAGUACACGAUCACAGGUCCGACGAAUCUAAACCCACGUCUCAAUAACUCCCUGCUCAUCGCCUCCGCCUUUGGUGAUCUCAACGGCACGUUUCUAGGGUACCUGAACUUGUUGAUCGUGGGUUGUUGUUUCAUUGGCCCCAACAUGUAGCUACUGAACGAUCCAAAUUCUCUAACUAUCUGUAUUUCACAUUAAUAUUAUAUCGUCAAUGAACUGUAACAUGACUGUAUCGUUCAAUAAUCGUUAGAUCGAUUUACGUAUAGUACCUUGAGGAUGCAUUUGGCAUUGUCGACUAUGCAUCGAACUCGGCAUUCAGCUAAGGAUAUGGCCUUAUCGGGGACGAUGGACAUGAUUUCAUUUUCAUCCAUUUUGGCCACUAUGUUUGGAUCAAAUCCAGCAAAUGAUUUCCUAUAUUUUUACAUACCGCACAUAUUAUAAAUUCCAAAAAAUAUUAAAAAAAAAAAAAAAAAAAAAAACAAAAAAAAAAAAAAAAAAUAAAACGAGAAUUAAACCUAUCUUUUUUUGUUGUAGUAUUCGGUAAACUCAUGAACACAAGUCUAAAUCGUUAGGACAAUUGAUGACCCUAAAUACUGUAUUAACCAAAAUGAUUCACACUCAAAAUGUGUACCAUAUCGAUCGAGCAAACUAGUUAGAGUUACAGACUUGAUAACUAUUACCAACUGCAUAUGCAAUAAGCAAUUAGCAUCUAAUUAAUUAGACACCAUUUGGGUUUCCCUAAUGUUUAUGGAACCUUGGAUGCCUACUUCCCAACCAUAUAUACCCAUGUCAAAGAUACAAACUAAUCACUCUUUUCCUACCAAGAUCAAGAUUUUAUUUUAUAAAAAAGAACACCCUUGGGGUGCCUACAUCUCAACUAUAUAUCCAUAUCAAAAUACAAACAACUUGAACUAAAAAAUGAGACUUUUUGCUUAAUUUAUUAAUUUAUUAAAAAUCAAGAUCGAUAUUUUUUAAUCAUGAUAGAUUCUAGUUAAUACACGAAAAUAAAAGAUAUAUAACUACUUUUAAAGUUUUGACCAUAAAUGAUGGAUAUAUGUCCUAGGAAGCCACCCCUAACCCCACAUACACUUUUAGUUGAGUUGAGAUGCAACGGUUAUUUAUAUUUAUAUAUUAACUUAUACAAAAAGUAAAAAAACACAUUUUGUAACAACUUACCACUAUUUUUAGUGAUCCAAUAGCACCUCCUAGGCUCACCAUCACCCUCACAACCACCACCACCACCAUCAUGAGCCUCCUCCCACCGCGGGGGCGAUGGUGGUGGGCCCCUCCUUGGAGACGGAGCAAUGAGCCGGAGGGCCAGGGAGACAUUAUGUUCAAGAGGAGAAGCAAAUGAUGGGCCGUCGGUGAGUGAAGAAGAAGAGUCGUCGUUGGAGUUCUGCGAGAGAGACAAUGACAAAGAAGACGAAGACGAGAUCGAAGAUAGAGAAGAAGAGCUCCUGUUAAGGCCAACAGGGUACACUUUCUUCAAGUGCUUGUACGAGAAUAUGCUUGCAAUUGCUGCCUGCUGCUGCCUCUUCUUGUAGCAACAUUCUUGCUUAUUGUUGUUGUUGUUGUUACCCUCCUUAUUCCUGAACAUGAUAUAGGGUUUUCUUAUAAGUUAAUAAUUUUUUUAAUAAAUUAAGAGAUGGGUUUGGGAAGUGGGGGGGUGUUUGGACUUUGGUUAAAGAUUUCAAAGGGUUUGAGAUGGGUUUUAAAUAGAAUGGAGGAAGUAGUAGCUAGUGUGAUUCAAAGUUGGUUGGAGUGUAAGUUUCCAUGGGUUUUGUUUUGAAUUAAAUUUCAUCAAUUGGGUUUCAAGCAAACUUGUUGGGAGAUUUUUUUCUCUUGUAAAUUGUGUUGAUGAAGUGUGAGGUGGAUAUUUAUUCAUUUAUUUGAUUAUGACAUGUCAACUCUCCACUAUGUCUACUACACAACUACACUUGUACAUUAGUCAAAUGUGUGUUUAACGUUGAGGUUUUAUAUAUAUUAGCUUUGUUUGGUAGAUAGAAAAUUGGAUCAACUUUUGAGUGUUUUUUUUCUCGAAUUGAAUACCAAGUUAGAUUCAAAUGAAGUGAUUUGGAGAGUGAAUUUGUUCAUAUCAUCUAAAUUCUAUCUAACUUUUUACCUACCAAAUCAAACCAUGUUAUAGCAUGAUUUGUUACAUUGAUAUAUUGAAAGUUAUAAUUAUAAAGGAUUGUUUUGAUUAUCAUAUCGAAUAUCUCACCGUUGUCACUAUUGUAGUGUAAUUUCAUAUGACCGUUAGUUCCAAUACGUUCUUUCGACAUGACUAAGAUCAAGAACGUGAGUCAUAAUAAGUAUGUUCAAGUUUCGACAAAGGGAUUUACUGCUCUAAUAUACACUAACAUAACCUUAUUAUCCUAACAUAAAAUAACAUAAUCAAGGGACAUCUACCGCAACUCAUCCUUCAUCGGGUUUAAAAACUACGAUAUUUUUACGAGUUAAACCCGAUAUUUCUUGUAACUUUCGGCGUGCUUCAAACUAUCAUGAUCUUACGCAUACAUGCACAUGGUACAAAAUACAGAUGUAUAUAUAUAGUUGCAAUGUUUUAGUCCUCAAAGGAGCAAGUGUCGGGGGAGAACUAUUCUUAACUUGCACUCUUCUCUUCUGUUUGUUUAAUGGGUUUUUUUAUGACUGCUUGAGGCCAACACUUUGCCUGCAACGACAAAGAAACUCCAUCCCACCAUACCAUUAGGAUAUUGUUAAAGAACCUAAGUUUUGUUUCUUUCUGAGCCUUCUUAGAUCAAAUGGAUUACAAGUGGGUUUAUGGAAUGCUAAAACCUCUAGAUUGCAAGUCAUUAGACUGUCGGCUUUUACCAGAUCAAAUGAGUUGUAGAUUCAUCGAGUUUUAUAUCCGAUAAGUUAUCGGUUGAACCAAUCACAUACGAUCCAUCUUAGUCAUUUGGACAUGGUAUGGACUAGGUCAUUGAGGCAUCUUGAUUUUGUUUGAAAUUUUUGUGUGGAGUUGUUAUGGAGAUGUGCAUUUCUCUCCUUAAAAUCUAAUAAUUAAAGUUAUUCAAAACGUUGCUGCAAAAAUAAGGGGAAGUAGUUAAGCUAAUGAUGCUUUCUUUGUCUCUGUGACAUUGGUACUUCAACUAAAAUUCCUUAUUCUAAUUAACCACAUUUGAUCAACUGUCACUACAUUUUGCCCUAGUACUUACUAGUCUACGUAAUUAUUCUUUUGCCCUUCAUGGGAUGGACUGGGAUUCUAGACACUAAUUAGGUCUUUUGGUCUUAAUUGCAACCUAAUCCUUCUAAAGUAUCUUCAAUACGUAAAGACAACGGAUCAACUGGGAUUGUUUGCUUAGUGUUUGGCUCGAAAAAAAAUUUCCAAUAAUUUAUUUAAUUUUAAACGAAUCAACCUUAAAGUAGGAUAUACUUGAUUUGAUAGGCACAGUCUGUGGUUGGAAGAACUUCUCUACCUACAACCAACCAACCACUUGGCCCAGUGGAAAGUAGAAACUCUCCCAAUUGAUUAAUCCAUCUUUUAUUGGGCCGUAGCCAAAUUCGGCCCAUCAGUUAAUUGACUUGUACGGACGAAAAUCAAGUGAAAUAAAGCUUAAACCCCUUGCCGCCAGAAAUUGAAUCCCCUUUCUUAAACCCUAAUCUCCUACCCUCUUCUUCUUCAUCAUCAUCCUACCAUGGUCGAUUCGUAGCAAUUUGUUAUCAUCGGCCGCUUAUCUUGCUUUCUUAUGCUCAGCAGAUGGAGAGUACCCCUUUGUCGUCUUCAAUUCUCCUCCAAAUCCCCAACACUCGCCUCUCUAUGUUCAUUCGUCUUCCCCAAACCUUCCGUCUCCACCUCCGCCGCUGUUACGUCGCCUUCCGGAAGUUCUGUUGCUCCGUUAGAGAGCCAUGGGGACUACAACAUCAUCCGCGAGAUUGUGUACGGGGUUACUCACUUGGGUUUUCGGGGCGUCGAAUUGAAGGGCUUGAUAACAAUGCUGAGCACGGAGCAGGUUGAUGCAGUGAUCGAAGCUUUGAGCUAUCGGAACGGUGAAUCCGCUGUGGAUUUCUUCCAUUUUUUGAGGAUGGAAUUCGGGUUUCGGCACUCGGUUGCUUCAUCCCUCGUCGUCUCCCAUGUUUUAGCGGGAAGGAUGAUGUUUAGGGAGCUGAGGAAUGUCGUCGAUCAGAUGCUACGAGAAGAAGGUGCGCGGCUUUAUUAGCAAAUUUCAUCGGGGGGAUUGAUAAUUCUGUUCAUUACGAAUGAUAAAUUCUUAUGCUUUGUGAUAGGAUCUGGUUCUGCUCCUAUAAUUUGUGAGCUGCUCUCUGGUAGUAGGUUUAAGUGUUGUGAUUCGACCAAUCAGGUAUGGGAUGUGUUGGCGUUUGCUUAUUCAAGAUUCGAGAUGGUUCACGAUGCUCUCUAUGUUUUGGUAAAGAUGAAGGAUUUGGGUUUUCGGGCUUCCGUGCAGACUUAUAAUAGUCUCAUGUACAAUUUGAGACACACUGACACUGUAUGGGACGUGUAUAAUGAUAUCAAAGCUAGCGGUUCAAGUCCGAAUGAGUACUCCAGUUCGAUUCUCGUGGAUGGUUUAUGCAGGCAGUCUAGGUUACCACAGGCGGCUUCAUUCAUCUGUGGUGGCGAAGAUUAUGAUCAAGUCCCUUCAGUUGUUUCGAUCAACACAGUGAUGUCAAGGUUCUGUAAAUUGGGGUUCGUAGAAGUAGCAAAGUCAUUCUUCUGUCUGAUGCUGAAAUAUGGAUUGCUUCCUGAUGCAUAUAGCUAUAAUAUUCUCAUUCACGGGUUGUGUAUAGCUGGUUCGAUGGAGGAAGCACUCGAGGUUGCGAGUAGUAUGGAGGUUCGAGGUGUACAGCCUGAUAUAGUAACAUACAACGUUCUAGCUAAAGGUUUGAAUCUACUAGGGUUGAUGAGUGGGGCUACAAAGAUGAUUGAAGAUAUGGUACUGAAACAACGAGAUUUAGACAGUGUUACCUAUACGAUACUGAUCUAUGGUCAUUGCCAAGCUGGGAACGUUUCGGAGGCAUUGAAGCUCUACAAGGAGAUGCUCUCACGGGGCCUUCAGUUGAGCGUCCUCUCGUUAAGCUUAUUGCUUUGUAGUUUAUGUAAGAUAGGGGAAAUACAUGAAGCAUUAAGGAUGUUCUCUGCAAUGGAAGAUAACGGGUUGAAACCUGAUCUUGUAACGUAUUCUGUUCUCAUCCAUGGGCUUUGUAAGCAAGGAGAAGUACAGCAAGCUAUUCAUGUAUACAAUAAGAUGUGUUGUAAUGGAAUAUCUCCAAGCUCUUUAGAACAUUGUGCUAUUUUGAGGAGUUUUAGGGAUAAAGGGAUGAUACAUGAAGCUAGGACAUACUUCAAUUCUUUGCUGGCUGCUGAUGACUGUAGAUUGGAUAUUGUUCUGUAUAAUGUCAUGAUCGAUGCUUACGGGAAACAUGGAGAUAUCGAGGAGGCCCUGCAGUUGUACAGACAAAUAACUGAGAAGGGUAUAUUUCCCAGCGUAGUGACUUUCAAUUCCCUUAUUUAUGGACUAUGUGCUAAUGGAAUGAUUGAUCAGGCUAUAAACUUGUUACAUACUAUCAAGCUGUAUGGAUUGGUGCCAAACGCAGUAACUUACACGACGAUUAUGAACGUGUACGCUGAAGGCGGAGAUCUGCUGAAUGUUCUGGCAUUGCUGCAGGAGAUGAGGAGAAACAACGUGAAACCAUCUCACAUCACUUACACCGUGCUGAUAAAAGCCUACUGCAGAGAAUGGAAGCUGCAGGAAGCUCUCUAUUUUCUGGAGGAGAUGAAAGCAGAAGGGCUAACUCCUGAUGCAAUCACUUAUAAUAUAAUUACUUGGCAUUUAUGCAAAACGAAGAACUUGUCGGGAGCUUUCAGUUUGGUCGAAGAGAUGUUGACACAUAACCUUCAACCAACCCCUGCCACGUACAACAUACUUAUCCACGGGCUCUGUGUAUGUGGUGAUCUGAGAAGUGCUGACAAGCUUCUGAUCUCUCUUCAGCAGGAUAUGAAUGUCAAGCUGACAAAAGUUGCUUACGCCACCCUGAUCAAGGCAUACUGCGCGAAGAGCGGUGAUAUUCAGAGAGUGGUGGUAUUGUUCCAUCAAAUGCUGGAAAAUGGGUUUGAUGUCUCGAUUAGAGACUACAGUGCGGUCAUCAAUCGGUUGUGCAAACGAAAUUUUGUAGUUGAAGCCAAAUACUUUCUGCAGAUGAUGUUAUGCAAUGACGUUUCCCCUGAUUGGGAUAUCUGUCAUGUGAUGAUUACUACACUACACAGUAACAGCCAUUUCGAUCAAGUAUCCGAGUUGCUUGCUAUAGCAGUCAAGUUUGGUUGUAUCAUGAAACUUUGAACAAAGCUUGUGCAUCACACUAGCAGAAGGAGCUGCUGUUUCUUCAGCGGCAAGGAUCCGUUUAAAUUCUCGACCCAAAAGGUAUUUAACCGAAUAGGAAUAACCUUCGUACAAGUUGUUCUCAAAAUUGAUUUUACUCUGCUUGAUAUUUCCAGAGAUUGUUCUUGAUAAUCCUAAUGCUAUCUGGAUUACUUGACAAAACUUUAUCAUUUCCUGGACUAAUACAACCAUAAUGUAUUUAAUCAUGUGAUUUCAUGGACUAAUUCAAUCAUAAUGUAUUUCCUGGACUAAUUCAACCAUAAUGUAUUUUAUCUUUUUGGCUUUGACUGUGCAGUUUAUGUAACUGAUGAACAAGCCUAUCCAAGUCAAUCCGAGAGCUCCCGCCUUCUUCAACAGCAGUCAAUGCCUUCUUCAGCUCGUCUGCUCCUUUCCUCUCACCCAAACCGUAACUCAUUGACGCUGCUAUCUGGUUACCCAACUCGACCGGAUCAGGUACCGUGUCACCGCCCUCGCAGACCCUCACGGCUACACCCAAGGCCUCCACCACCAGCCUAGCAUUGACAAACUGGUCAGCCUCCAUUGGCCAAGCCAGUAUGGUAACUCCGGCCGCCACUCCUUCCAGCACUGAGUUCCACCCGCAGUGACUCAGAAACCCACCCACCGCCUGGUGACCCAGAAUCGUCACCUGAUCGACCAAACCCUUAGCCACGAUUCCUUUUCCAGACACCCGGACCUCAAACCCAUCCGGUACCACUCCUAGCCCGGAUUCCUCACUGCCCAGUUUUACCACUUAAACGAAUCAAACCAUGCUCUGCUCCAACCCGGUCGCCAGAGCAUCCAUUUGGUCCUUGCUCAUAAGCUUCUGGAUCCCGAAACAUACGUAGUGCACCGAACCAUCCGGACAGCGAUCGAGCUACUCCACCACAUUCGAACUACUCGGUUUGAUAUUACGAUCAAUACCCAACAAGCUAACCGGUCCGAUCGCAAAAACAUUUUCGUGUCCCAUUUUACCCUUUAGGAAAUCGAAGUAGGGAGCUUCAAAGCUUGGAAGCUAUUGAAGAUGCAGCCAUGGCUGACCAAAUUCGACAGCACCCCUUCCCUGACGAGCUCCCAAUCGGGAACAUCCGGCACGUAUCGUCGGAACAUGGAAGGAAGAUGCUCAGCCUUGAAGGAAGGCGAGCCGGGCAAUUCUUCGAACACUAUGCAAUCCAAAUUCCUCAUCGUCACCGGAUCCUGAAACGGUUUGUCCGCAAGCGAGGCAAGGAAGGCUCCGGAGCUGAAGAAAGCGAACCUAGGGAUUCCGAGGCGGGUGGAGAGCGAGAGAGUCCAUCCGAGGAAGAAAUCGGAGAUGAUGGCGAUUGGUUUCGGGUCGGGCUGUGAGUCAAACCAGGCGGCGAUCGGGUCGGAUAGCUUGUGGAGGGCGUUGACUAUGGGGAGGUUUCCGGAGUUUCCGGAGCUGAAGUAAGCCGCCACUACCGCAACUAAUGAGGAAGAAGUUGUUUGUGCAAUUGGUUUUAUGUUUUUUGCUAUGAUAGUCUGUUUUAUAGUUAUCUUGGUUUAGAAUUAAUUUGUCUCGUUAGGAGAGAACGGAAAUCAGUUGACUCAUCGCCCGGAGACGAUUACUUUUCCAUGUAACCCGUUUGUGGGAUCUACACCUCCCAUUUAAACUUGUUAAUGCAUUAAACCUUGUAACCAAUUUAUAUCAACAUUAAUAAGAUCGAUUGAAUUAAAAAAAAAAUUAGAUAAGGCAGUGAAUAAUUCAUUAUAUAUCAAAAUUGAAAAGGGCAAAGGAUCAUAAACGUUGAUAACAUAUAGUAGAGUUGAGACACUUAUUUAAGAAGCAAACUAACAUAUAUCUAUAGCUGUAGAUACAUAUAUAGCAUGAUAAUUAUAGCUUAAUUAAUUAUUAGGUUUAAUUAAUUAGUUGUUCUUAGGAGGGUGAUGUCUAGGAGAACGAUAAUCAGAAGUGAAAGCAACAAGAUCCCUAGCAUCAUUGCCAUAGUUAUGCUUCGACGUCUUAAACGACGACGAAGCAGUAGAAGUUUCAUCAGCAACAACAGCAGAACGGAAUUUCAUCGAUUUCCUUCCUCCUACAACAUGCUUAGCCUCCCCAUCCCUCUUCUGAUCAUCUCCCUUUCCGUUGCUCCUUCGAUACUUAUCACUCCUUUUGACAGUUUUUGUCGCAGGUUCGAUGUUCGACUCUUUGACAAUAAUGACAUUCAUUGAUGGUCCCUGCAAAUAUCUCUAACUCUGUCAUUACUGUCAAUUCGACAAUUGUAAUCCUUCCCAACACAUUGUACUUUUUCCUAUAUUCAUCGCAUCGGAAUAAAUUUGUGUAGUACGAAAACAAAUGUAAUGCAAUGAAGGUACAUAUAUUACCUCGAUGGGAAUAGAAGGCACAAUCUCGUUAGCAACAACAACGGCAGUAAGAUUGGAAGUCGGGGCACGAGACAACAGAGUAACCGUGGCAAUGGUGACGAAAACAACGAUCAGUAAAGCCGUAAAAGACGACGAUGAAGACGAAAUCUUCAUGGUAAGAAUGUGGAGAGAAAGUAACACUUAAAACUUGGUAAAUUUGUGUUGGAAGAGUAGUUAUGAGAUCAGAAAUGUGAAAAUUAGGGCUAACUUUAUAAUGAAGAAUGAAAGAUUAUUCGGUUAUCUCCAGAUGGGGUUUAUGGAACUUUGUAAGUACUUUGUGUCCCCUCUCCCAAUGUUAAUUCCCAUGAACAUGUGGCAUUGUGUUAUAUAUUUAGCUGUGCCCCAAAACUAAAUUUCCAUCUCGUCUUGGGAUGGCCAGCAUCAAGUAUUCAUACUUUAUAAACUUUCUGCAAAUUGUUGGUUCCAAAGUGUUGUAUGUGUCGUCUAUGAACAACCGACGUGUUCGUAUGUGGUCUCGAUUUGAUUAACUAACGUACGUGGAAUGGAAGCUACGUACAUUAUUUUUUUAUACGUGUUCUGUGCCUGUCUGCCGCCAUGCACAACUUUUGGUGUUGAAUUUCCAACUUGUUUGCAACCAAUGUCUGUGGUAACUUAAAACAAUUUGUAAACAAUUGUACGUGGUACUAUCAAAACCAUGAGUCAUGCAUACAUGAUACAAUGUUCUGAAAUGUAGGAAUUACAUAUGAAUGGUUUCUCAUGGUACGGUUGAUUUGUAGCACAUUCUUUUAACCGAGUUUAACUUGGCUAGCUACGUACGAUAUUAAGUGAGUGAGAGAACACUACAAAAUGUGUAUUAUUAGUGACGACGAAUAUGUCACUGAUAGUCAAUUAUUUGUGUGUACUUGGUCCGUCAUGGCCAUGCCCCCAGUUGCACUUAGUAGAAUGGUGUUCAUAUUAAGAAGUACUAAACCCAUAGGAAAAAUUAUACAGAGCAAGUAAAACUGUAGAAGAAACGGAGGAAUCCUAAAUCAAAAGAAUUCAUGAGAAACGGAGGAAUCUUAAAUUAAAAAGAUUUGAUGAAGCAUAUAGAAUUUAAAAUUUUUUAAUUUUUAUAUUAAAAUUGAUCAAUUUUUGUGUGUUAUAUUAUGAAAAUUUGACCAUUUUCACAAGAAAAUUUUAAAAUUUCCAAAUCAAUAAAUAUUUCACAUACAUGUUGGAAUUAGCUAAAAAAUCAAGUCUCGCUAUGAUAACCCUUGUAAAUAAUGACCAAAUGAAGUUAAAAAUCAAUUUUACUUGAUGUUUUGUUAGUGUUGAAAAUUUACAAAUUGACUUAUUUUCUGCAUGUUGAGCGGUCGUUACAUGAAUUGCAUUUUGUUAACUUCGACCAUACACAAUUCUGUGGGAACUAAAUCGUUUUACUAUACAUUUUCUCACGUACAUUAAGCUAUUCUGAAUUCGCAGUUUGUUUACAAUGAUCAUUAUUUGUAAUUAGUCGAAUCUAUUAUUCGUUUCGAAACAAAUUAGGGUCAUACCGAUCUCACCGAUCGGGUCCAAAACAAUUACCAGAUUAACCCCAGUCUUCAGGGGUUUCUAAUGGGAAGGAGUGAAGAAGACAAAUAAAUGAUUGAAUUAAACAAAAUGUGAACUUCACACAGACAAGUCAGCCACCCACCCCCACUAUCUCAAUAACCCCCAACUCUUCUCUUUUCAUGGGAUUCUCAACUUUUGCCGUCCAUAGAAUUCUAGCAAAAACAUGUUCUUGAAACUGUCAUGGGCCAGAUGGGUUAUGGAUGAAAACCAGGCCGACCCGGUUCCUUCACGGUGGACAAUUGGGCCGUAAAAGCCUCAAAAUCCGGAGUCGACUACUCAUUAUCCAAACGGUUCAAAAUUGCUCGACUCGAAUUGUUUCAGCAAUGCCACCAAGUCUAACUCGCUCGCUAAUAAAUGCACAUGAAAAUCUCGUGUGCGCCAUACUCGACCAUAUCUUAAAUUUACGGGAAUCCUAUUGUUGAUAAACUCAUAUAAGUAAAUGGCUCACCACAAUGUUUUAUUAGGCUUGUGGUU